rnacentral:rRNA from 1 species
GAUUUCUGGUCUGAUGCGCCUGGCCGACUGGGGUAACCCAGCCAGUGUCGGUGUGUGUCUGCCAUCUUGCUAGUUAACCAGCUGCACUUAAAUGGGCGGUUGGCGAUCUAGCUCUUUUACUUUGAAAAAAUUAGAGUGUUUAAAGCAGGCUUGCGCUAUGAAUACAUUAGCAUGGAAUAAUAAUUUAGGACUUUAUUUCUAUUUUAUUGGUUUCUAGAGAUAAAGUAAUGAUUGAUAGGGAUAGUUGGGGGUGCUAGUAUUCACCGGCCAGAGGUGAAAUUCUUGGAUUCGGUGAAGACUAACUUAUGCGAAAGCAUU